AGAACAGAUUUUUUCCCUUCUUUUACACAGCAGCAUUUUGCAUAUUUAAAAACCACAGUGCCGUAGUCUGGGAGGCAGCUGCCAUAUUAAUUACCCAGCUGACACAAAGCUUCCACUGCAACACGCAUCAACUGCUGUGUGCUAUUAUUGCCAUUUAAUUUGACUCGUACAACUAAUCAGGCAUGGCCUUCUACAACAGACGAGGCCACUCCUGUGGGUGUAGGUAUUUGGAAACCAAAAGCCCUUAAAGCUGCAUCUUUCUGGUGGAAAGUAUCACCACAAGCCAUCAUGUUUUCUUUCCUGUAUUUGAAAACCACCCACAUUUUCAGUAAGAAAAAAAAAAUUAAACUGAUUGAGCGCUUUGCCCAGGGAAUGGGCCUUUCUGAUGAGUUUCAUUCUCAAAAUAUUUGGUGUCUGUUGUUUGGCUUCUAAGGGUGUUUAUUUACAGCUCUUUGUUAGUUUAAAGGAAAUGUGGGAAAAAAAGUAACUGGGGGGCACAUUCAAUAACUGCUGCAAGAGAGCAAACUGUUCCUCUUUGCCUUUGCUUCGAAUUCACUGAAACUUUGUUAAUGAGUUACUGGGAGUAGUAUGCUGGGAGUAGUAAGAUGAGUAUGCUGGGAAAAAAAAAAGAAAAAAGAGGAAGAAAAUAUAGGAGGUUAAGUCAUUUCCAGUGUGAAAAGUACACUAAAACUUUUUUUUCCCUCCCUCACGGUUUCCAUUUGUGCUCAAAGUGUGCAUUACACGCUAGCAUAAGGUUUACAUUUCAGUCUCUUAUCACAGUCCUAAGAUACAGAUUUGGAAAGGAUCAGAGAGGUCACUUCAUCCCUUCUGCCAUACAGUCCAGCACUCCCCAAUGAGGUCUGUCCGCUUCGUUGCCACACAUUUCCAGCCCGGGAGCUCCCUGGAUUCCUCAGAAGAGGACAGGAAACGCAGUGAGCAAAUCAAACCGCUUGCAAAAUGCUGUGUGACGGUACACAUCCCAGGCGCUUCACCAGAAAAAGAAGGGAGGAACAUUUAAUAGACAUGAUCACCAACACUUAGGUCACAAGGAAAUGCACACGCCAUGAAGUUCAGAGAUGUUCACCUGUAGUCAAACUAAUUCAUGCCGAACAUGUCCGGAGAAACUCCAGAAAUUCAAGCCAAGAAGAAGGGAACCGAAGCAGUUCUCUUAGAACAAGACUUUCAUCAAUCCUUUGGAACUGCUCUUGGACUUUUUAUGCUCUGUUGGAAAGUUCAUUACAUUGACUUCAUAAAAGGCUGAGUGUCAUCACCUGAAAAUCAGGCUCUGUUAAGAUUCCCAAGUACCCAAACUUGAAGCUUCAGAAAACACUGGGGCAACUUGUGUGAGGUAAAUCCUUGUAAAUACUUACUCAUCAGGGAUUGAGAAACCUGAAGGUGCCUUAAGGAAUUAAGCUGUCUCCUCAGCAUUGCAAACUUUCUAGAAUUCUUCAGGCUUUGAUUUAUUGACUGACAACUCUGACAGCCAAUGUAAACAUCAUUUAGUGAC
ensembl:lncRNA